rnacentral:rRNA from 1 species
GAUGAACGCUGGCGGCGUGCCUAACACAUGCAAGUCGAGCGAGAAGUCUUCGAACAGAGAUUCGUCGAAGUAAGAAGAUGGACAGCGGCGGACGGGUGAGUAACGCGUAGGUAACCUACCCCAAGCUGAGGGAUAGCCUAGGAAAACCUGGAUUAAUACCUCAUAACGCGGAGGAGUCACAUGGCUUUUUCGCCAAAGAUUUAUCGGCCUGGGAUGGACCUGCGUCUGAUUAGCCAGUUGGUGGGGUAACGGCCUACCAAAGCAACGAUCAGUAGCCGACCUGAGAGGGUGAUCGGCCACAUUGGAACUGAGACACGGUCCAAACUCC